rnacentral:tRNA from 2 species
UAGCAUUCUAAAGUUAAACUACCCUCUG